GACGAACGCUGGCGGCGUGCUUAACACAUGCAAGUCGAACGGAAAGGCCCUGCUUGCAGGGUACUCGAGUGGCUAACGGGUGAGUAACACGUGGGUGAUCUGCCCUGCACGUCGGGAUAAGCCUGGGAAACUGGGUCUAAUAACGGAUAGGAGCCAUUUUUAGUGUGAUGGUUGGAAAGUUUUUUCGGUGUAAGAUGAGCUCGCGGCCUAUCAGCUUGUUGGUGGGGUAAUGGCUUACCAAGGCGGCGACGGGUAGCCGGCCUGAGAGGGUGGACGGCCACAUUGGGACUGAGAGACGGCCCAGACGCGUACGGGAGGCAGCAGUGGGGAAUAUUGCACAAUGGGCGCGAGCCUGUUGCGACGGCGCCGCGUGGGGGAUGACGGCCUUCGGGUUGUAAACUCCUUUCGCUAGGGACGAAGCUUUUUGUGACGGUACCUUGAUAAGAAGCACCGGCUAACUACGUG
rnacentral:rRNA from 1 species